rnacentral:rRNA from 1 species
GAUGAACGCUGGCGGCGUGCUUAACACAUGCAAGUCGAACGGUGAACACGGAGCUUGCUCUGUGGGAUCAGUGGCGAACGGGUGAGUAACACGUGAGCAACCUGCCCCUGACUCUGGGAUAAGCGCUGGAAACGGCGUCUAAUACUGGAUAUGUGACGUUACCGCAUGGUGUGCGUUUGGAAAGAUUGUUCGGUUGGGGAUGGGCUCGUGGCUUAUCAGCUUGUUGGUGAGGUAAUGGCUCACCAAGUCGUCGACGGGUAGCCGGCCUGCGAGCGUGACCGGCCACACUGGGACUGAGACACGGCGCAGACUCCUACGGGAGGCAGCAGUGGGGAAUAUGGCACAAUGGGCGCAAGCCUGAUGCAGCAACGCCGCGUGAGGGAUGCCGGCUUUCGGGUUGUAAACCUCUUUUAGCAGGGAAGAAGCGAAAGUGACGGUACCUGCAGAAAAAGCGCCGGCUAACUACGUG